rnacentral:rRNA from 1 species
AUACGGAGGGAGCGAGCGUUAAUCGGAAUUACUGGGCGUAAAGCGCGCGUAGGCGGCUUUGUAAGUCGGAUGUGAAAGCCCUGGGCUCAACCUGGGAAUUGCAUUCGAUACUGCUUGACUAGAGUAUGGUAGAGGGAAGUGGAAUUUCCGGUGUAGCGGUGAAAUGCGUAGAUAUCGGAAGGAACACCAGUGGCGAAGGCGACUUCCUGGGCCAAUACUGACGCUGAGGUGCGAAAGCGUGGGGAGCAAACAGGAUUAGAAACCCCGGUAGUCC